AGCCGUGUGAUGAAUGCAAAGCGAACUAUUCUUUCGCCUUUUACUAAAGAAUACAGUGUAUUCGUCACCUUCAAACGGCAUACGAUAAUUUUUUAAAGGGUCCAAUCGUAUGUG